AACCUACAGAUCCAAAACUGCAGGAUCUCCAUGACACAGGACAACAGGAAAUCCAAGAGGAACCCGGAUGAGAGCCCAUUAUCAAUGAUGUAGCAGAGGCCAGGGGCCUUGAGCCAUACAAGUGAAGAUGGAACAUAUAAAGGGUAAACCAUAUGACAACCGGGCCACACUACAGCUUCCAUGGUUUAUCAAGAGAAAAGAGCCAAGCAGCAGCAGGACCCAGGAGCAGACCAUGGCUUCCAGGAAGGCAGGGGGGACAAGGUCACUUCCCAACAACAUGCUGCUGGGCUGCAUCCUGGCCUGAAGGAUUUCCCACCGUGCAAUGAGAAGGCUUUGAGAAGACCAGCCCACAGAAGCAAAGGCGUCUGGGAACUUGGGACCUGGACCUGCUAGAAUGGGGAGUUCCUGCUGGUCAUUUUUGAGAGUUCCUCCAGAAAGGCACCACCAGGGCUCUGUGCUUUCUGGCUUGAGCACUUUGAACCCAGAGAAGGGGAAGUUUCUGCAUAGUCCCUUCAACAAGGAAAAGUAUGGCAGGGAAAUCCAGGGACCACGGAGCAAGGACGAUCCCUUCCUCUGGUCAUACUGGCCAGAACCCAUGGAGAAGAUACCAAACUUGUUUGGAAAAGGUGAAGAAGAGGAGAGACAACAUUGGUCCUCUCCCCAUGUCCUUCACUCAUUUCCUGUCUUGUAGGUCCUUGCAAUUCUUCAAGAUAUUUCUGGAAUGUCACCUCCUCUAUGGAGUGUCCCCUGCCCAGCAGAGUUCUGUGGUCCUUCAAGGAGUUGAAUGAAACUAAUUCUGCUUGGGCAAGUAGUUAUCAAUUUUGGUGAUAGCUUCUGGGCUUAUUAGUGCAUUGCUACCUCCAGCACCAUGUCUGCCUGCAUGCUGCCAUGCUUUCUGCCAUGACAAUAAUGGACUGAACCUCUGAAAUGUAAGCCAGCCCCAAUGACAUGUUAUCUUUUGUAAGCGUUGCAGUGGUCAUGGUGUCUCUUCACAGCAAUAGAAACCCUAACUAAGACAAGAGCUAUGCCUAGUGAGAGGAAGUAAACACUGAGACCCCAUCCUUAAAGGAUCAAGAGAUGACCUCCUUCUCUCCUCCCUAACUACCAUGGAGUGAGCAGCUGCCCUAUGCUCCUAUCAGCAUGUAGCUGUGCUUACCUCAGGCCCAAGACAUGGGUGCCCAUCCACCGCAGACUCAAAUUAUGAUCCAAAGUAAAAUUCUAUUCUCCUUAAAAAUGUAUUUCUCUUCAGCAUUUUGUCACAGACCAAGUGAAAUGUGUGUACU